CUUCACCAGGUUCUAGUCUGGAUAAUUAGACUGGCUAUCUCAUUUUGCAGGAGAAUCAGAAAUAAUGGAACCCAGGAAGAGCAAGAUUUUUUGGAUUAGGCAUUGCAAGUAAUUCCCCAACCUAGGAAAAAGUGCUGCUCCAGCAGAAUGUUCAUAUGUUGGAUUCGUUUGUAAGUCUCACAGUAAACAAAAUACAAAGAGGAACAACAAAGGGAUUAAUCUGAAGAUGAAAGCAAAUCACAAAGAGCAGAAAUGGAAACUCACAUCCCCAACUCUUCUCCUUUGGCUUCUAAUUUUCCUACCUCCUGGUAGCU
rnacentral:lncRNA from 1 species